AUAUUCACUGAGUGCAUAGUGUGUGCGCCAGGCCCUGUUCUGGGAGAUGACAGGCAAGGCCACUGACUUCGUGGAGCUCGCCCCCUAACGGUGAAGACAAACAGUGACUGACUAAGGAAAAAAAAAAAAGAACCCUGACGCUUGGCAUGGUCCAUGGCCCCCUCCACACAGCCAGUUGGCCAGGGAGCCGAGGCAGCCUGUAAACGCUCUGCCUGGAGCUGCUCGUAAACAAAAACAGAGUGAUCCACAAAAGGGCCCCAGAGUCUGGCACUGAAUGGAAUCCUACCUUCGGUCCAGCAACUGGAGAACGAAAGUCCACAUCCUGAUGACUGGUUCUGCACCUGGGGCUUAGAGCACAUAGCAAGGGGCUGAGAAGCAGCCACCACAUAAUCAGUGACUGCAAUUUCAUCACACAGUCCUCCAUGCCAGGCCCUGUGGGGAAACCAAGAUAUGUAAGGCAAGCCCUGCUCUUCGGAAUUUCUAAUCUCAGUACUGAAAAGUUAAUAACAUAAGGACGCAGCCUAUCUGUGGUAACACCAUGGCAUGAGCUGUGUGGAUUCCAAGUGCUGAAUGAAGCUGGAAGGGCAGAGGUCACAUCGGGCCAGUAUGUGCUUCUUGGAAGAGGUGGCAUUUGAGUCACUUGAAGAAUGAGCAGGAGAUGAGGGAUGGGAAGGAGAAGGCAUUCCUGGGAUGCCAUGAGCAAAGUGUCACAGUUUUGCAUUGAUCACUGUCAUCCAUGUAAGAGCAAGGACAGCUCAGGCAGGUGGUGGCCAUAGAAUGGAGGUGGACACAUAAAUAUGUGGAGAAAGAAGGAAGUCUUUGGGUUAAAAGGCCAAGACUUGACACCUGUGAGGACCUGGAAUCUAACCCUGUGUUUGUCUGUAAACCCAAGGCAAGUCACCCUUCUUCCGAGGCACAGUUUCUUCACCUGUAAAAUGAAGGGACUGGGCAAGACGGUUUCUAAAGUUCCUAGGGCCAGGUGCAGUGGCUCACGCCUAUCUUCACAAUACUUUGGGAGGCUGAUGCAGAAGGAUCACUGGAGCUCCCUCAAGACCAGCCUGGGGAACACAGGAAGAACCUUGUCUCUACAAAAAAUUAAAAAUAUUAGCUGGACAUGGUGGCAGGACCUGUGGUUCCAGCUACUCAGGAGGCUGAGUGGGGAGGAUAUUUUGAACCUGGGAGGUCGAGGCUGCAGUGAGCUGUGAUCACACCACUGCACUUCAGCCUGGGCAAUAAAUAAAUAAACAAGUAACAAAGUUCCUUACUACUUUAGAAUCAGGGUAGAAAGGAGUGAAGAUGACUUUAGGAUUUUGAAGAACAGGCCCAGCAGCAGGAGGUGAGGAGUCUGGAGAACAGCAGAUCUGGGGAGAGGCCUUCAGCUUUAGAUAAAAUGCGUGGACCCCUUCACGACUCUUCCUUCUGCUGGGGUCCUCCAGCGCUGCCACAGGCUGACCCGUUCUCAGACUUGCAUGGGACGUGUGUUGCCUCCCUACGUCUCUCCCUGAGAUGUGAGCCUGGCUACAUCAAGGCCAGAGCAAUGAGAGGCAGUGGCCCUUGCCCCAGCUUUUCCCCAAUGAGGAAGCACCAUCAUCACCAACACCAUCUUGCCACGAUAGCACUGGAGAGC
rnacentral:lncRNA from 1 species